AAGAAACCCAACCCCACCUUAUCGUUCUCCCCGGGGAACAUGUGGCGCCCCUCCGGCGCCUGCCCCACUUUUUAUCCGCGCGCCCCAGCAGCCGCCGCCGCGCCCCCCGUGUUAUUAGCCUUCGCCGCCGACGUGCCCCGCGCCCACCGCAGCGCACCGCGACGACGUCGGGCCCCGACCCCGAGUGGCACCGGCCAGCCAGCUCGAGCACAGCUCUCGCCGCGCGACGACGCCAUGGCCCCGACCGCCCCAGCCGCCGCCACGGGCGCGGCGAGCCCCGCCGCGCCGGCCGUCGCCAGGAGCGAGGGCAGUGGCAAGGCCGCCGCGCGCUCCGUGGGGCUCGACCUGCCCGCGCUGCCGGGCCUCGGCCUCGGCCUCGCGGCGCAGGGACAGGCGACCCGCGCCGCGUCCUGCAAGCGGCCGGAGCGGAACGUGGUGGCCAUGGCUGCCGGGGCCGCGGGGGAGCCGGCGGCGGCGCCGGUGGUCGCCAACGAGGAGAUCACCGAGUUUGUCAACGCCUUGAAACAGGAGUGGGACGGGAUCGAGAACAAGUUCGCGGUGACCACGCUCGCCGUCACUGUCACGCUCGUCAUGUGGAGCGCUGGUGGAGUAGUAUCGGCGAUUGACAGGCUCCCCGUAGUUCCAGGCCUGAUGGAGGUUGUUGGAAUUGGAUACAGUGGGGUGAGGACCGCACGCAUCUGAGUGAAAACUUCAGAUGAUAUUUUGCAUUUGAGGCUAGAGUGUUCAAAAUUUCUCAUUUGCGUAGCUUUUCGUUACUGCUGUCGUUUAUCUGAUGAUUUUUUUUCACCUUUUUUGAACUGCCUUUUCUCAUGCAGUGGUUUGCGUACCGCUACCUGCUAUUCAAGCCUGACAGGGAUGCUUUCUUUGCAAAGGUCAGGGAGUUCUACGAGGAUAUAAUCAGCGGCUAACAGAAUAUGAUGCAAGCUCAUCCAAAUGAAGGAAGUUCAAUUUGAGAGGGGCAUGCUAGUCUGCUGCUGUUCAGUUCUUCUCUGUAAUAUAUUUCAGUAUAGCAUCUAAUUUGAUUCUCACUCAAUGUAUGGAUAAUUUGGAUGCUAAUCGUAAAUAACAUUUAAUCAUUUUAUAGCA